GUUAGGGGGGGUUUUCCGCUCCCUUAGUGCUGCAGGUAACGCAUUAAGCACUCCGCCUGGGGAGUACGGUCGCAAGACUGAAACUCAAAGGAAUUGACGGGGGCCCGCACAAGCGGUGGAGCAUGUGGUUUAAUUCGAAGCAACGCGAAGAACCUUACCAGGUCUUGACAUCCUUUGACAACCCUAGAGAUAGGGCUUUCCCUUCGGGGACAGAGUGACAGGUGGUGCAUGGUUGUCGUCAGCUCGUGUCGUGAGAUGUUGGGUUAAGUCCCGCAACGAGCGCAACCCUUGAUCUUAGUUGCCAGCAUUCAGUUGGGCACUUUAAGGUGACUGCCGGUGACAAACCGGAGGAAGGUGGGGAUGACGUCAAAUCAUCAUGCCCCUUAUGACCUGGGCUACACACGUGCUACAAUGGACAGAACAAAGGGCUGCAAGACCGCAAGGUUUAGCCAAUCCCAUAAAUCUGUUCUCAGUUCGGAUCGCAGUUUGCAACUCGACUGCGUGAAGCUGGAAUCGCUAGUAAUCGCGGAUCAGCAUGCCGCGGUGAAUACGUUUCCGGGCCUUGUACACACCGCCCGUCACACCACGAGAGUUUGCAACACC
rnacentral:rRNA from 1 species